CAUUUGGAGUUCCAGUGGGCUUUUAUUGAGAUAAAUUAACAAAAACCAAGAUUUUACCAUAUUUUUGGAACCUUAUAAACUCAGCAGACUCCGGUCCAUAUAUGCGUACAUACAACAUAACACAUCCCAACAAAAACAGAGCCCCCCCCCCCCCCACUGGAACAUCUGCCAAUUAAGAGAAAGCCAAUUUUCCCUUCCCCCAAUGUUUCUGAAAUUUUGAGUUCCCACUGUUCACUUCUCAGUGGAACUGGUCCCUUGUGGCUAGGGACAUUGGAAUUCUCUACCAUUUUUACUGAACAAAAAAUAAUUUUUUUUCCUGUUUCAAAAAAGGGAAUAGUGACUUUGUUUUCUCCAGGCCCUACCCCCUCCCUUACCCAGCAUUGUCUACUGGAGAAUUUAAAUACACUUCUGUUGGAAUCUGUCAGCUGUGGAUGGGCAGAGUCCAGGUGCCAGGCUAGCUCCCUCUGACCUCAUGAACUGUGACAACCUUUGGACACUUAACUCUUUACCCCAAAGAUGAGUUUUUAGAUCAGAAAGGAGAGCAGAUUUUCUUUGGGAGUUUUAAAAAACUAUCUUUAGAUUUAGAGAUACAAAGUACAACUACAAUCUCACAGAAGUCCACUAAAGUUCACCAAAAAGCUGACUUACUUCAGCUCUCAUGAGGCCAAUAAUUUUGAUAAAGGUAUCUGGCAGGAAAAUGAUUCCACAAUAACAAAUUUAAAGAUACCUAGAACAUUGAAAAAAAUAGCAAAUUAAAAUAAAUGGCUUAAUUUCCAAGAACUUAUUUCAUUUUUUUGUUACUCAUCUAGAAGGUCAGGAGUGUGGCUAAAGGCAGUUUCUGAUGAGGUUAUGAGCUUCCAAAGUGUUUCUAAAUCCUUAGUGCAGACACCCUCCCUUCUGGGGCAAAACAGUAUUUAUCCCCAUCAGAAUAUAUGGGGAAAGAAAAAACAUAGGCCUAGAGGUGGUAAGGUGUGUAACAGUCCAUAGCCCAUUACACAACUGUACAACCAAAGGCUAAAUGAUGAGUUGGAUGUAGUUUUAAUAUUAAAAAUAGAGGGUAGUUCUCAUCCAAAUGAGCCACUGGAAAAUAUUAUCAUUACUUAAAAAAAUACAUAUUUAAUAUUGGAAAGAAUGUGAAAACAACUUCCAAUAGUAACAAUGCUUAUUAUGAGGGCCCAAAAAAGAAAGAAAAAAAAAAAAAAAAAAAAAAAGACCAG
rnacentral:lncRNA from 1 species